UCUCAGUUCGGACUGUAGGCUGCAACUCGCCUACACGAAGUCGGAAUCGCUAGUAAUCGCGGAUCAGCAUGCCGCGGUGAAUACGUUCCCGGGCCUUGUACACACCGCCCGUCACACCAUGAGAGUUGGAGAUACCCGAAGCCUAUGAGCUAACUUUUAGAGGCAGUAGUCGAAGGUAGAAUCAAUGAUUGGGGUGAAGUCGUAACAAGGUACC
rnacentral:rRNA from 1 species